CAAUGAAGGGCUAAUCCUUCCUCUCCUAGUUU
rnacentral:tRNA from 1 species